CUGUGGAAAGGUCUACGGUAAGACCAGUCACCUGAGAGCUCACCUCCGCUGGCACACAGGAGAACGACCCUUCGUCUGCAACUGGAUCUUCUGUGGCAAGAGGUUCACACGCUCGGAUGAACUGCAGAGACACAGACGGACACACACAGGUGAGAAGAGGUUUGAGUGUCCAGAGUGCAGUAAGCGUUUCAUGCGUAGCGACA